AAUAGAUACCCUGGUAGUCCACGCCGUAAACGAUGAGUGCUAAGUGUUAGAGGGUUUCCGCCCUUUAGUGCUACAGCUAACGCAUUAAGCACUCCGCCUGGGGAGUACGGCCGCAAGGCUGAAACUCAAAGGAAUUGACGGGGGCCCGCACAAGCGGUGGAGCAUGUGGUUUAAUUCGAAGCAACGCGAAGAACCUUACCAGGUCUUGACAUCCUCUGCCAACCCUAGAGAUAGGGCGCUCCCCUUCGGGGGACAGAGUGACAGGUGGCGCAUGGUUGUCGUCAGCUCGUGUCGUGAGAUGUUGGGUUAAGUCCCGCAACGAGCGCAACCCUUGAUCUUAGUUGCCAGCAUUCAGUUGGGCACUCUAAGGUGACUGCCGGUGACAAACCGGAGGAAGGUGGGGAUGACGUCAAAUCAUCAUGCCCCUUAUGACCUGGGCUACACACGUGCUACAAUGGAUGGUACAAAGAGUUGCGAACCCGCGAGGGUAAGCCAAUCUCAUAAAGCCAUUCUCAGUUCGGAUUGUAGG
rnacentral:rRNA from 1 species